AGAGUUUGAUCAUGGCUCAGAACGAACGCUGGCGGCAGGCUUAACACAUGCAAGUCGAACGCUCGUAGCAAUACGGGAGUGGCAGACGGGUGAGUAACGCGUGGGAACAUGCCCUUUGGUUCGGAACAACUCCGGGAAACUGGAGCUAAAACCGGAUAAGCCCUACGGGGGAAAGAUUUAUCGCCGAAGGAUUGGCCCGCGUCUGAUUAGCUAGUUGGUAGGGUAAUGGCCUACCAAGGCGACGAUCAGUAGCUGGUCUGAGAGGAUGAUCAGCCACACUGGGACUGAGACACGGCCCAGACUCCUACGGGAGGCAGCAGUGGGGAAUAUUGGACAAUGGGCGCAAGCCUGAUCCAGCCAUGCCGCGUGAGUGAUGAAGGCCUUAGGGUUGUAAAGCUCUUUCGCGCGCGACGAUAAUGACGGUAGCGCGAGAAGAAGCCCCGGCUAACUUCGUGCCAGCCGCCGCGGUAAUUC
rnacentral:rRNA from 1 species